rnacentral:rRNA from 1 species
AUGGGACCAGAACCAAAAGUUGUUAUAUGUGCUCCCGAUCAAGGCACACUCGUGAGAGGGUGGAGACUUUGUCUCCCUUAUUUUUCUCUUGGUUUGUUUACCGUGAGAUCAAUUCCAACAGUUCUUUCUUGCAAUCCCUCCCAAGGAAACUGCACAGUACUCCGAGUACAAUUGCCCAAUAAUCAACUCUCUUAUGCUAGGGUUGGGGACGCCAAAUGGACUUGGAUUGGUGGAAAAGGAAAUUGCUGGGAAUAUCAAGAUAUUCUGUAUAACAACAAUGAUGGUUUGUUUUAUGGUGUUCGUGGUGAGGGUCAGGUAGAUUCUAUUGACCUUAAUGGAACUUCUGCUGAAGUAAAAGUCAUUUUAAAGUCAAUCAUAUCUUACCAAGCACAUAGUAGACAUAUUGUUCAAGCACCAUGGGGAGAUUUUUUCCAGAUAUGGAGACAUGGUAAAUAUAAUAAGGAGAAUGGGAGAACAGAAUGGGUUGGCAACAAGUUUUUCGUGUACAAGAUUGAUUUUGUUGAACAAAAGAUUAUCGAAACAAAUAACCUCCAAGAUCAUGCAAUGUUCAUUGGUUUCAACAACUCAUUCCUUCUCCCAGUGAAAGACUUUCCUGCAUUGGUUCCCAAUAGCAUCUACCACACGGAUGACUUGCUUGAUUAUAUCUACUGUCACAGAUUUAGUCUUAGGCAGGUUGUUAUUUUUAAUAUGGAAGAUGGCAGUUUCAUCGAGUUAUCGCCCCCUAGUUCAAAUUCAGGAUUGAACUGGCCACCCCCAGUUUGGAUUUAA